UUGGUUAAGUUAGAAAGGGCGCACGGUGGAUGCCUUGGCACUAGGAGCCGAAGAAGGACGGCACUAACACCGAUAUGCUUCGGGGAG
rnacentral:rRNA from 1 species